rnacentral:rRNA from 1 species
GACUACAGGGGUAUCUAAUCCCUUUCGCUCCCCUAGCUUUCGUCCCUGAGUGUCAGUCUCGGCCCAGUAGUGCGCUUUCGCCACCGAUGUUCUUCCCAAUCUCUACGCAUUUCACCGCUACACUGGGAAUUCCCACUACCCCUACCGAACUCUAGCUCUUCAGUUUCCACCGCCUCUCCGUGGUUAAGCCACAGUCUUUGACAGCAGACUUGAAGUGCCACCUGCGGACGCUUUACGCCCAAUGAUUCCGGAUAACGCUUGCAUCCUCCGUAUUACCGCGGCUGCUGGCACGGAGUUAGCCGAUGCUUAUUCCUCAGGUACCGUCAGAACUUCUUCCCUGAGAAAAGAGGUUUACAACCCAAAGGCCUUCCUCCCUCACGCGGUAUUGCUCCGUCAGGCUUGCGCCCAUUGCGGAAAAUUCCCCACUGCUGCCUCCCGUAGGAGUCUGGGCCGUGUCUCAGUCCCAGUGUGGCUGCUCAUCCUCUCAGACCAGCUACUGAUCGUUGCCUUGGUAAGCUCUUACCCCACCAACUAGCUAAUCAGACGCGAGCUCCUCUUCAGGCGAAUUUCUUUCACCUCUCGGCACAUUGGGUAUUAGCAGUCGUUUCCAACUGUUGUCCCCAUCCUGAAGGCAGAUUCUCACGCGUUACUCACCCGUCCG